UACGAAGGGGGCUAGCGUUGCUCGGAAUUACUGGGCGUAAAGCGCACGUAGGCGGCUCUUUAAGUCGGAGGUGAAAUCCUGGAGCUCAACUCCAGAACUGCCUUCGAUACUGAAGAGCUCGAGUCCGGGAGAGGUGAGUGGAACUGCGAGUGUAGAGGUGAAAUUCGUAGAUAUUCGCAAGAACACCAGUGGCGAAGGCGGCUCACUGGCCCGGUACUGACGCUGAGGUGCGAAAGCGUGGGGAGCAAACAGG
rnacentral:rRNA from 1 species